rnacentral:rRNA from 1 species
GGCAUUGCCGGGUAGCUAUGUGCGGACGGGAUAACCGCUGAAAGCAUCUAAGCGGGAAGCCCCCUUCAAGAUGAGAUCUCCCCGAGGCCUCGAGCCUCCUGAAGGGCCCAGCGAGACCAGCUGGUUGAUAGGCACGGUGUGGAAGCGCUGCAAGGCGUUGAGCUAACGUGUACUAAUGGCCCGUGAGGCUUGACCAUAUAACACCCAAAGGGU